UCGAAGAGGAGAGUGAUGUCACACCAGCCAUGUCCUACUCCAGCCGGAUAGGUCUUUAUUGCUUUCCAAGUCGAGUUAGGUUGGUUAGUUCAAAUUAUGUUUAGAUCUAGAUAAGCCUUCCUAUCUUAGGAUUUGUUAGCUUUCUUAAUUUGCAAGUAUUGAUUUAGAAUAGAAUCAGGAGUCUUGGUUGAUUCGGUUUCUAUCUUUAGUUGGUUGGCUGCUAUAUAAGCCAGGCAGUACUCGUGUGAUUGGUAUCGAAGAAAGAAAUAGAGAAAGGGGGAGGUUUACCUCCAGAAUGAUCUAGCCCCCCAGACGCCACGGCGGCAAAGCCCAAACACCCUCGCGUCAGAUCUCCUACCUCUCACGACUGCGCCCUUAGUAAUUUGGGUCGUGACUGGGGUGGUGGUAGGGAUUGGCUGAGGAUCGGUACAUCUGAUAAAGAAGGGGAUAAUCCUGUGUGAAAGGAGGGCAAGGGCGAGAGAGUUUUGGCUUGGGGACAGUGAUGCCUUAAGGAUAGAUCUGUUCUGGAGGUACAGACUGAGACAGAUGGAUCAGACUAGUACUCCACACCUAAAUGGCCUGAAAGGAAAGCUUUGGAUUUGACGGCUCGCAGAAAAGGAAUUUAGGGCUUUGCCAACAACAAAUCCAGAUGGAUCAAUGUCAUUACUGAAGAGAGGAUGAUAUGGAGGAGGGCGCCAGCAACUCUGGAAGAGUUGUGUUAGGUGUAAAGGCAGGUGAAGGGGGCUGCAAACUUACAACGGAAAAACUAUUUUGAAUUUGCGCAUCACAUUGUAGUAAGAUUUGAGCAUGCAAUACGACCGUGACAUGUCAGCCUA